ACAGGGAUUCCCCUAGUAACGGCGAGUGAAGCGGGAACAGCUCAAAUUUGAAAUCUGGCCCUUGGGUCCGAGUUGUAAUUUGCAGAGGAUGCUUUUGGUGCGGUGCCUUCCGAGUUCCCUGGAACGGGACGCCUUAGAGGGUGAGAGCCCCGUACGGUUGGCCACCAAGCCUGUGUAAAGCUCCUUCGACGAGUCGAGUAGUUUGGGAAUGCUGCUCAAAAUGGGAGGUAUAUUUCUUCUAAAGCUAAAUACUGGCCAGAGACCGAUAGCGCACAAGUAGAGUGAUCGAAAGAUGAAAAGCACUUUGAAAAGAGGGUUAAAUAGCACGUGAAAUUGUUGAAAGGGAAGGAUUUAUGACCAGACUUUUUCUAGGGGGAUCAUCCGGUGUUCUCACCGGUGCACUUCCCCUAGUUGAGGCCAGCAUCGGUUUCUGUCGGGGGAUAAAAGCUUCGGGAAUGUGGCUCCCUCCGGGGAGUGUUAUAGCCCGUUGCAUAAUACCCUGACGGGGACCGAGGUUCGCGCAUUGCAAGGAUGCUGGCGUAAUGGUUAUUAAUCACCCGUCUUGAAACACGGACCAAGGAGUCGAACAUUUGUGCGAGUGUUUGGGUGUUAAACCCUCACGCGUAAUGAAAGUGAACGGAGGUGAGAGCCCUUCGGGGUGCAUCAUCGACCGAUCCUGAUGUCUUCGGAUGGAUUUGAGUAAGAGCAUAACUGUUCGGACCCGAAAGAUGGUGAACUAUGCGUGGAUAGGGUGAAGCCAGAGGAAACUCUGGUGGAGGCUCGCAGCGGUUCUGACGUGCAAAUCGAUCGUCAAAUCUGCGCAUGGGGGCGAAAGACUAAUCGAACC
rnacentral:rRNA from 2 species